ACCACAUCACAUUGAAUCUCCAGUUCACAUAUGAUGAUUGAAGUUAAGCAACAUUGAGUCUGGUUAGUACCUAGAUGGGUGACCACUUGGGAAUACCAAGUGUUGUAAG